rnacentral:tRNA from 1 species
GCCUGGCUAGCUCAGUCCAUAGAGCAUAGGACUCUUAAUCCCAGGGUCAUGGGUUCGAGCCCCAUAUUGGGCA